ensembl:misc_RNA 7SK 7SK RNA
GGAUAUGAGUGCCAUCUGGUUGUGACAUAUGUCACCCCAUUGAUCACCAGGGUUGAUUUGGCUAGUCUGACUGUCUUAGGCGGGUGUCCCCUUCCUCCCUUACUGUUUCACAUGCAUCUCUCCUGCAGCUACAUACUGGGUUGGAGAGGAUGACCUUCCCAGCUAGAGGAGAGUCAAGUGUAUAUAAGUAGCCAUGCUCCCGUUCUAGAACCUCCAAACAAGCUCACAAGGUCCGUUUGUAAGAAAACAUAGGGUAGUCAAGUUUCUGAGACUCCAGACACAUCCAAAUGAGGCGCCUCAUGUGCCAGUCUGCCUUUCUUU